UGCACCGAUCGGGAAUCGAACCCGGCCGCCCGCGUAGCAGGCGAGCAUUCUACCACUGAACCACUUAGA
rnacentral:tRNA from 1 species